CGGAUUGGAGUCUGCAACUCGACUCCAUGAAGCUGGAUUCGCUAGUAAUCGCGCAUCAGCCAUGGCGCGGUGAAUACGUUCCCGGGCCUUGUACACACCGCCCGUCAAGCCAUGGAAGCCGGGGGUGCCUGAAGUGCGUGACCGCAAGGAGCGCCCUAAGGUAAAACCGGUGACUGGGGCUAAGUCGUAACAAGGUAAC
rnacentral:rRNA from 1 species